rnacentral:hammerhead_ribozyme from 1 species
AUCCAGCUGACGAAUCCCAAACAGGACGAAACGCGCGUCAAACUGUAU